rnacentral:lncRNA from 1 species
UAGACACAAGGAGAAUUUAUGUUCCUAGACAGACUGUGAGCCAAGUAAAAACUCGAUAGUCAUGGAUAUGCAACGAAAAGGAAUUAUUUGGUGUGGGAGGGAAAAAGAGUCUGAGGAUGGCAGCAGCAAUUCCAAGAACAACAACAGCAAGAAGAAUAAGAGAGAUCAUCUUUUCCUGGGGCUCUCUCUUAGAAAGAAGGGAAAAGGAAUGCUGGCAAUUCAUUGUGCAGGAAGAGAUAUACAAAGUCCAAGCAGGUUAGGUACCAAAAAGUGACAUUUCUGUCUUGGUAGCCGCUGUGACCUAUUGAUAAACAGAGCAAUUGAUAAACACCAAUUAGAUGCCCUGAAUCAUUCCCAGCAGCUAUCAGUGAAAUUAACACCAGCAACAAUGAAAGCAAAGAAUGUUCCUGCGCCUCAGAUUGGGAAGAGGGGCAGCUGUUAAACUCACAUCUUCUCAUGGAGACUCAUUAUGCACAUGAAUAUAUGAGAAGCUCUGUGCAGUCUUGUAGGAAGAAAACUGUUUAACUGUUUCACCCAAUGUUUUCCAAGUCCAUUUGAUAACAGAAGCCAUUUUUCAUCUAACACCUGUUAGCAUCCUGUGGAACUAGUGUUAUGAAAGACACAUCUUAAGAAAAACCCAUCUACCUCAACCUCAGAAGUUUCAGAAAAUUGUGCAUCUUUUCCUGUUCUUUCAUUUUA